GACGAACGCUGGCGGCGUGCUUAACACAUGCAAGUCGAACGGAAAGGCCCUGCUUGCAGGGUGCUCGAGUGGCGAACGGGUGAGUAACACGUGGGUGAUCUGCCCCUUACUUUGGGAUAAGCCUGGGAAACUGGGUCUAGUACUGGAUAGGACCAUGCUGUAGGUGGUGUGGUGGAAAGAUUAGUUUCGGUAAGGGAUGAGCUCGCGGCCUAUCAGCUUGUUGGUGGGGUAAUGGCCUACCAAGGCGUCGACGGGUAGCCGGCCUGAGAGGGUGGACGGCCACAUUGGGACUGAGAUACGGCCCAGACUCCUACGGGAGGCAGCAGAGGGGAAUAUUGCACAAUGGGCGCAAGCCUGAUGCAGCGACGCCGCGUGGGGGAUGACGGCCUUCGGGUUGUAAACUCCUUUCAGCCAUGACGAAGCCCUUGUGGUGACGGUAGUGGUAGAAGAAGCACCGGCUAACUACGUG
rnacentral:rRNA from 1 species